CCUACGGGGUGCAGCAGUGGGGAAUAUUGGGCAAUGGGCGCAAGCCUGACCCAGCAACGCCGCGUGCAGGAAGAAGGCUUUCGGGUUGUAAACUUCUUUUCUGAGGGACGAAGAAAGUGACGGUACCUCAGGAAUAAGCCACGGCUAACUACGUGCCAGCCGCCGCGGUAAUACGUAGGUGGCAAGCGUUAUCCGGAUUUAUUGGGUGUAAAGGGCGUGUAGGCGGGAAAGCAAGUCAGAUGUGAAAACUCAGGGCUCAACCCUGAGCCUGCAUUUGAAACUGUUUUUCUUGAGUGCUGGAGAGGCAAUCGGAAUGCCGUGGGUAGGGGUGAAAUGCGUAGAUAUACGGAGGAACACCAGUGGCGAAGGCGGAUUGCUGGACAGGAACUGACGCUGAGGCGCGAAAGCGUGGGGAGCAAACAGGAUUAGAUACCCGGGUAGUC
rnacentral:rRNA from 1 species